GAAGAAACUCUCCAUGAGAGAAUGAGUUUUGGAGCAAGGGGGAAUGGAAAAAAUGACAGAGAAAAUAAAUGUCUGCUGCUUCUGCGUGAUGUCUACAAAAACAUGUGAACAUCUGGAGGAAAUUUCCAUAUGGGUCUCGAUGAACUAUUGGCUGGAGUUAGGAUGCUUUCAUAUGAGCAGCAUCUCUCAGGUGAGAUUCGGAGUUUCAGAAGCUGGAGCUUAUGGAAUUCCCCAAUCUCGUCGACGAGCCAGCAUCUCCUGACGAGACGCUCCUCGAAUGGCAUGUUUUUGCAGGCCUAGAGCUUAGAGUCAAUAACUAUGCUGCUGUUCGCAGUACAGCAACUGGUGGGCCAUUCCGUGCAAUAACUGUCAGAGACGCGAUUGGGGAUCUCCCAAAUAUUGGCAAUGGGGCUUGUGAAACAACCAUGGAGUACCCAAGAGAAGCUUCAUCUUGGUACCAAAGGAAGUUUCGAGGAGAUAUGUCAAUCCUAACAGAUCAUAUCUCCAAGAAAAUGAACGAGCUGAAUCUCAUCCGAUGUAAAAAAAUUCCAAAAUUUCGAGGAGAUGUCAAUCCUAACAGAUUUCAUCUCCAAGAAAACGAAUGAGCUGAAUCUCAUCCGAUGUAAAAAAAUUCCAAAAUUUCGAGGGGAUAUGUCAAUCCUAACAGAUCAUAUCUCCAAGAAAAUGAACGGGCUGAAUCUCAUCCGAUGUAAAAAAAUUCCAAAAUGACCAGGAGCUGAUUGGCAUGAGAUCAAGAAUGGAAAGGUUUUUCUGUUCAUAGGGCAAAUAGCUAAACUAACACCUCCUUGGCUGCUGAACUUGGCCAAAAGGCAUAAUCAGUGGAAAGGUACUUUGAAGGUUGGACUGGGUAGGACAUUUUUCCAACCUCUAUUACAGAUCCUCAACCAAUGGGUAUGGUUGGAAUGUGUUUUCACCCAGAUCAGGACAGGAUACUUUUUGUUCGGGAAUGUGCUCAAACUCAAGUGAGAUCUGGUAUUGAAAAAGGCUGGGGUCUAAGGACUGCCUCUCCUGAAGAAUUUUUCCCUUGAAUGACAUGAAUCAGACCAUGUUUUUGCAGGCUGAGAGCUUAUUGUCGUGUGAUCUGGAAGUUUCCAGUACUUCAAUCGGUGCUCCUUUCUGCGCAAUGGCCAUUAGAAGAAAAACAAUCAGGAUCUCCUAGAUGUUGGAAUGAUUGGUGGAUAUGCUUGAACUAAUACGAUCACACUGCAAAGGAUAUAGCAGUCACUGUUGAUCAAAAUUGUGAGAUUAAGCCAUCAUAUUAUAGCAGCUCCAGGUUGUCAUCCUCUAGGACAGCUUGAAUAUGGUAGCCAAAAAGUGAGGUAGGGAAAGGGAAUGAGUGGUGCAUGGCAUGAUGUAUGAAAAUAAUGAAUGAUGAAGAAAUAAAAGAUUGAUUGAGUU